AGGAUGAACGCUGGCGGCGUGCCUAAUACAUGCAAGUCGAGCGGAAGAUUUAGCAAUAGAUCCUUAGCGGCGAACGGGUGAGUAACGCGUUGGUGACCUGCCUCGAAGCUUGGGAUAACAGUUCGAAAGGACUGCUAAUACCGGAUGUGUUCAUAAGGAUUAGAAGCCUUAUGAGUAAAGGAGAAAUUCACUUCGAGAGGGGCCUGCGUCCCAUCAGCUAGUUGGAAGGGUAACGGCCUCCCAAGGCGAUGACGGGUAGGGGACCUGAGAGGGUGGCCUCCCACAAUGGAACUGAAACACGGUCCAUACACCUACGGGUGGCAGCAGUAGGGAAUAUUGCAUAAUGGGCGAAAGCCUGAUGCAGCAACGCCGCGUGUGCGAUGAAGGCCUUCGGGUCGUAAAGCACUUUUGAAGGGGAUGAGGAAGGACAGUACCCUUCGAAUAAGCUUCGGCUAACUACGUGCCAGCAGCCGCGGUAAAACGUAGGAAGCGAGCGUUAUCCGGAUUUACUGGGUGUAAAGCGCGUGUAGGCGGUUUGGCAAGUUGGAUGUGAAAGCUCCUGGCUCAACUGGGAGAGGCCGUUCAAAACUACCAGACUUGAGGGCGGUAGAGGGAGGUGGAAUUCCCGGUGUAGUGGUGAAAUGCGUAGAUAUCGGGAGGAACACCUGUGGCGAGAGCGGCCUCCUGGACCGUUCCUGACGCUCAGACGCGAAAGCUAGGGGAGCGAACGGGAUUAGAAACCCCGGUAGUCCUAGCCGUAAACGAUGCAGACUUGGCGUCGGUGGGGGUGAAAGCCAUCGGUGCCGAAGCUAACGCGUUAAGUCUGCCGCCUGGGGACUACGGCCGCAAGGUUAAA
rnacentral:rRNA from 1 species